AGUAGCUGCCAGCUUCCACAGCCCUUGUGGGAGGAUGGCUCUCGGGGGCUGCUAACACCCCGAACUUCUAGCCUCGCUGUAUGAGGGCAGGUUGGGUGGGGCCCCAUCACAGGUGCCUGCCACUGGAAGCAGGGUCCACACCCACAGAUGCCACAUGUGGUAUCCAUCGUGUGGCCAGCACAGCACAUUGGCCCCCCCGUCUCCUGGUGACAGGCACUAAGGUUCUCCCCGUCAUUUUGCCUUUGUAGACACUGCCACUGUGCGUGUUCUCAGACGGGUCCCUGCAGACAUGUGCCGGGCCCUGGAGUGGCUCUCCAGCUCCCCGGUGGGGUGUGGGCGACCCCCAGCAUGGGAUAUCAUCGGCAGAUCCCCUGCAAGGUCAUCGGCAGUUCAUGAAUAUUCCUACUGAUUCACGUCCUCACCGGGGUUUCCUACUCAGUCUCUCCAAGUGUUGCCAGCCGUGAUGGAUACACAUCAUUGUUCAUUCGUCCAAGCCCAUAGAACGUACACCACCCAGGGUGAACCAUAAGGCAGACCAUGGGCAAUGAUGAUGCGUCAGUGCAGAUCCAUCCUCGGUAAAAGAUGUGCCAUCCUGGGUCAGACAUGGGACUCGGGGACCAGAGGCUGAAGGGGACCUAGGAAGAAAGGAUAAUCCAGAAACGCAGUGGAAAGCCCUCCCCAUCGGGGCAGAAAAGUGCUUCCUUCCCAGACUUGUUGAUCCUACAAGGCUCUGUGAAAUCCAGUGUGCACGUAAAUCACUUCACGAGUUCCUUAUUUGCCUGUGAUACCCUCCCAUUCCAAACCUGAAGAAACGAGAUCAGAAUGACACCACUUGCGUACCCACAGAAACAAGGCAGGGACGAAAGUGGUGAAGCAAGCAGCCUUAACCAUGAGGGAACUGUGGAAAUUGUGUGAGUCUACAGGCUGCUCGUUUUCAGCCCUGUGAAUUUCCCAGCUGUUAGAGGAGGUCAGUGCUGGUUUGCUGAAAACGCGGGUUGGUGGGCUGGUAGGAGGCGCCUGAGGUGUGCAGACCAAGUUUGAGCCGAAGUCUUACGAGAGACACAGUUGCGCCUCUGCCCCUCCCCCUGCAUAUGUAUGUCUGUCCCUCCUGGGGGGCCAGAGCUUACAACAGGGAAGGGAAGGACUGACGGACGUUAGCUGAAAGGACCAAAACUCAGAGUUUUUGAUGGAGGACAUCAGUCUUUUAGAACCAACUUACAAACUUGAACAGCCUUGGACAUGAAGAGAGACUCAGAUCCAUUAUGCAUUUGAAUUGUGACAUAACCAUCUAAUCACAAGAAUGCACAUUGUUUAGAGAAGACAUUUGCAACUGGGCCUUUGGGAGUCAGUGUACCCAAAUAUAUCCAGGACUUGAUUCAAAAAAGCUUACAUUUGACCUAAAAAUUCCACACGUGGCCAUUUAUCUUCAGGUCAUAAGGGGACCAUUGGACAUACACAGAUGUAUGAGGAUGUUAACAGCAUUGCUCUUUAUAACCAGAAAAUCAGAAAAUAAUCUAAAUUGAUAGAAAACUGAUGAAGCAAAUCAUGGCAUAUCCUUGCAAAGGAAUACUUUGCAGGCACUAAAAUUAUGCCACAGAUCAGUAGUUACCAGCAAAGUUGGCCAUGGUACAUUAAGUGAAAAAAGCAAUAUGAUACCUUAAAAAAAAAAAAAAGGAAAUGCACGUACAAAAUUACCUAGUAUGUGCGUUGAAAAAAAAUGCAAAAUUAUUCAUCAAAAUGUUAACGGUUAUUUGAAUGUUAGGAUUACUGGCAAUCUGUAUUUUCUUUGUGCCUUUUUAUAUUUCGUAAGUUAUUUAAAAUAAACACAAAUCAUUAUAAUGGUUUAUAAAAAGAAGGUUCCUAAAGAGCCCAUUGUGAAAGCUCUUGCAGCAUUUUAAAUGAAUAAUUGAUCUAUUUAGCGUCUCAGGUUUACUCUAAGUUACAAGUUCCCGAAGAGCGGGGAGCAUUUUCGCUCCCGUUCCUCCCCCUGGCUCCACGCAGCCCUGCGCAUGAGCAGAGCUCCCUGACAGCCGUCGACUGACUGGGUAUUUAGGUGUCAAGUACUGAGAAGGUAUUAGUGAAAAUCGCUAAGGACUAAAUUGCGUAGCUGAGCCUUUGCACUAUAACUUCUAUAAUUGAAAACUAAAACCUCUGAGUCAUUUCAUUUUAUUACAAAUGAACCCACCUCACAACUCCCCUUCAGUUUUGAAAUCUCGCCAAAGUGUUGGUUAUGGUCCCAUCACUUGGCUAAUGUGAAAGUUUUAAAAGCUAUUUAAUGACAUCAUUAUCCUGCAAAUCAUAAUGAAGGAGGCAAAAACGAGUCUGGUGUUUGAAAAAUCCAUGCAUGGACCUGUGGUUUCUGAUAGGGGAGCAGGGCCCAUCUAAGAAAAUUUGAGGUGAUGGAAUUUUGUUACUUUGCAUCUCAACCUCUCCAUUGGUGCCUUUGUACCAGUCAGAUGUUGCUGUGUAACAAACGGGCACAAAAAUCUCAGUGGCAAAGAAAAAUGGUGUAUGUUUCUUGAUCUACGCUGGGCUCAUCGAGGGGUCUCUGAGUCUGGCUGGCCUCUCUCCCGUCCACCUCUAGAAUCCAGACUCUAGUGUGCACCAUGUGUAUUUGCUUGGGGUCCAGAUGAAAGGGCAGGCGCAAUUUAGGGGAAGCUCUUCUUCUGUCAAAGUAGAAGUCAAGGCCAAGAGUGUAUGCGCAUUCAUACCAGCACACUUCAGGUUCCUGCACAUGUCAUGCCUGCUAACGCCCCUUUGGCCAGAGAAACGCCCCAGCAGCAGUGGGGCCGGGAAGCCCACAGAAGGGAGCAUUCGCGGAAAGUGAGGCAUCGUGACCAGUGAUUGGGCCUGCCAUACCCUCCAUGAGCACAGGUGUUCACCCCCACUUCCUCUCUGCCGAUCAGCCAGUGUUUCCGCGCAUCCCUGUGUAGCCAUCCGUUCCGCCUGAAGGAGAAGACAGCCCUGCCUGCAUGGUACAUUGGGUGUCCUUUUUGGGUAAAUAAAACACGGAUUUGAUGUUUUGUUGACCACGCCCUGUUCUGUUCCGAGGUUCUUUGGAGAGGAUGGGCCCUCACCCGGUCGGGACGAGCUUUCAUCCCUUAGUCCCAGCGGCCGGGAGAGGGACAGAACACUGGUCGGAGGCACAAAGGGACUUGCCUGCCCAGAGUACAGCCAGGGUGCUACGGGCUGAGGAAGGACAGAGCCUGUCAUCCCUCCGUUUGAGAAGACGCGUGGCGAUGGCCGGUGGCUGGCAGCCGGCAGGGGCACGGCCGUCGAGCUGGCACCUGGCUCCAGCUGAGGAGCAGCGUUCCUGUUUCCCUCAGACUGCUGAAGUCCAACAGCACUUACACUGAUGAUGUAAGUGCUUACUUUAAAUCUCUGGGGAAAGCAAGUGCAAUUUUACUUCCUAACGUUGUAAAUGAGGCCGGGUUCUCGGGAACCGCAGUGAAGCGCAUUAGGAUGUGUAUAAACGUGAACAAAGCCGGGGACAUUGAAAGGAAAGAUGUCGUGGGUAAAAGGGUCCGUCUGCUGACGCACAAACUGCAGAGAGGCUUUCAGCUUUUUCCUCCCAAAUCUAGACACCAACUGGCAAUUUGCGCAUCUAUUGUGUUCUAAACGAGGCUGACUAAACUCAGCUCCCCUCCGAGGCUUAGCCGGCUGAGAUGGAAGAGCAGAAAGUCUGAGCCAUCACAUGAGGCAGUGAACGGUAAGGCUUGGAGCUAAGCAUCCCAAAUGGCUCGGGCAGGGCUUCUCGAAGCACGGUCCUCAGAGUGGCAGGGGCAGCGUGGCCCGGGCACUUGUCAGGGGUGCACGUGCUCGGGCCCCAUGCCAGGUCUCCGGGAAGCAGACGCUCAGGCUGGGGCCCAGCUGCCUGGGUUCUUAACUCUCCCCUGGGCCCCAGAGGCUCUAGCUGGGGGAUCAGCGGUGCAGUGGGCCUCUCUCCCCUGGGCCGCUUGAAGGAGUUGGGGCAGUCUGCAGAGGAGAGAAGGAAGGGCAGCCCCACGGUGGUCGUGGGGAUGGGCACAGAGCAGAGGCCAGUGGGCCCCACCCUGCAGCACUCAUUUCCUACGGCCGCUGUAACAAAGACCACAGACUGUGUCGCUUAACCCACAUGCAUGUCCUGUCUCGGUCUGGAGGCUGGGCAUCCAAGGGCAGGGUGUGGCAGGGUGGGUCCUCUGCAGCUGUGAGGGAGGGUCUCUUCUGUCCUGUCUCCCGGCUUUGGGUGUUUGCCCUGAGUCUUGGGUUUUCUUUGGCUUGUGGAGGCGUCACCCCCAUCCCUGCUUUCUAUCCCUGUGCCUAAAUAUCUCCUUUCUAUGAGGACACCAUUCGUACUCAAGACCUCGUCUUGACUAAUUAUAUCUGCAAAAACCCUAUUUCCAAAUAAGGUCACAUUCACAGUUACUGGGGGUUAGAGCUUCAACUUCGCUUUGGAGGACACAAUUCAAUCACAGUUUUUGUUUUGUUUUUUUUUAAUAAAUUAUUUGAGAGAGCGAGAAAGAGAGAGAGAGUACAUGAGAGCGGGGAGGGGCAGAGGGAGAAGCAGACUCCCUGCCGAGCAGGGGGCCCGAUGCGGGACUCGAUCCCGGGACUCCAGGAUCAUGACCUGAGCCGAAGGCAGUCGCCUAACCAACUGAGCCACCCAGGCGCCCCUCAAUCACAGUUUAAUGCUGACAAUUGUGAGUCAUACAGGCAUGGGCCCCUGUGACCCAACAGGAGCCAGUCAGGUACAAGACACUGCUAAGAUUCUGGGUUGGAACUUGGAGGACAUAACAUCCGACGUGGCGCAGCCAUCUGGGGCUUGUCAGGGAAGGAUGGGAGUCCAUGAACACGUGGAGGGAGCCAACCCCCUCCUGGGGGUAAGUGGAACCAGGAGAAUGUAGUGAAACACUGGGUGUAGUAUAGUCACUAUAGUAACAUCACUUAAAUGCUUAAAGCCAGGCCUAUUCCCAGAUGUUCCAAAUACAUGAACCAGUGUCUCCUUUUCAUCAAAAUCAUUUUGGAUUGUGGUUUCCUGUCCCUUGAAAUCUAAAGAAUGUGACGAUAUGUAUGGUCCCGUGUCUCUAAAUUCAAAGCUAGUUCUUAGCCUGGUGUGGCACGUGGAGAAAAACAGAACGGCUGAGUACAGGUGUGGGCUGCUCUUGCCUCAAGAGGGGCGUGCAAGGGCUCCCACUGCCCCAGGGUCUGCUGCAGAGAGAGAUCUCAACCCCAGGACUCAUGGCCGGCACACCCAGGUCUCCAGGCUGUCCACGGGGAGGCCCCAGGCCCCUGCUGCUCAGAAUGCGGUGCACGGCCCAGCAGCACCUGGCCCCCUGGGAACUGGUCAGAAACGCAGGUUCUCAGGGCCCACCCCAGACGUUCCGAACCAGACUCCGCAUUUUAAACAGAAUCACCAUCGAUUUAUGUGCUCAUUAGGCUCAAGACGCAAAGUUCCAACCUCAUUAGUGAGCAAAGUUUUGGUGCAUUAAAUCCCAGCUAUUUAACGAUCAAAUUGGAUUUCUGCUCUUUCUAUCUGAUUUAAAGCUAUUCCUCCAAGGAUUGAGAUGACCAAACAACCAAGUCAUCCUAUGAAUAUUGUAUUAUAUUGUUAUAUUCUAUUAUAUCAUUAUAUUAUAAACAUAACACAUCAGUAUUAAUUUAUAUUAGCAGCAUAGUAUAUAAAUUCCACUUUGAAGUACAUGAGACAUUUGACAGUAUGUUUCAUGUUCAAUUUAUAUCUUUAUUGAAUGGCAUAAUAUAAUACUGCAGACCAUGAAGACAAAGUUUGUGCCUCAAGUGGUAACUACGCUAACCGACAUCUUCAACAUCAUGAGCAAAAGCUGCUGAGUCAUGGCUCAGCUCUCGGCUCCAUGCGCUUCCACACCCUGGGCGUCCAGAGUCGCCGAGCAGAUGCUGGGUCAGCACCAGAACCACAUUCCCCAGAAACCUGAGCAGCCGAAAGCCCCACUGCAAACGUCUGGCAGUUUGUCUGCUACAGAAAGCAAAUUGUCUCUUGCUUCCUGAGUUUCACAGAGAUGUUUUUCUGGCCAUGCACUGGGUUGAAGACCUGCUCAGAAAGGCUUUUGGGAGUUGGUUUCCGCCGCUGGUCAUCGUUCUUGGAACAACCACCCGGUGAGGACUCGGGGCUGCUGCGUCUCAGCGGGGAUCGGCGGCAGUGAGGAAGAAUAGCUAGAGGCCACAGACAACAAAGAAACCAAAAUUAAGCUAAUCCUCACACGUGCAAGGCUUUGCAGAUAAAUAAAAAUUAAUUUUGGCCUUUUCAGAUCUUUGACUCUUUGUAUCUUUAUUUCGAUCAGAACAGAUUCCGCCAAAACAUAAAACGAAGACGGCCAGAGCUUAAACAAAAUGUACAGAGCAGAGCCUGUUCACACGCAGAGCAGGAGUGUGUGCCCAUGAGGAAAAGCACCAAGCAGAAGUGCAAGGUUUAGAGUCUGGACAGGGGAGUGCUAAUUGAUAAUGGACAACUUCUGUUGUGGGUAGAA